rnacentral:rRNA from 1 species
CGACGCCGCGUGAGCGAUGAAGCCCUUCGGGGUGUAAAGCUCUUUCGGCAGGAACGAUGAUGACAGUACCUGCAGAAGAAGCUGCGGCUAACUACGUGCCAGCAGCCGCGGUAAUACGUAGGCAGCAAGCGUUGUUCGGAGUUACUGGGCGUAAAGAGUGCGUAGGCGGUGCUUUAAGUUUGGUGUGAAAUCUCCCGGCUUAACCGGGAGGGUGCGCCGAAAACUGGAGUGCUCGAGUGCGGGAGAGGAGAGCGGAAUUCCUGGUGUAGCGGUGAAAUGCGUAGAUAUCAGGAGGAACACCUGCGGUGUAGACGGCUCUCUGGACCGCAACUGACGCUGAGGCACGAAAGCGUGGGGAGCAAACAGGAUUAGAUACCCUGGUAGUCCACGCCCUAAACGAUGCACACUUGGUGUGGGCAGUUCAUUCUGUCUGUGCCGGAGUUAACGCGUUAAGUGUGCCGCCUGGGGAGUACGGUCGCAAGGCUG